GAUGAAGAACGCAGUGAAAUGCGAUAAGUAAUGCGAAUUGCAGAAUUCCAGUGAGUCAUCGAAUCUUUGAACGCACAUUGCCCCCUUUGGUAUUCCGAAGGGCAUGCCUGUUCGAGCGUCAUUAUCACCCCUCAAGCCCUCGGCUUGGUGUUGGACGGUUUGGUGGAGGCCCCCUCGGGGGCUCCUGCCCCUCCCAAAGACAAUGACGGCGGCCUCGUUGGACCCCCGGUACACUGAGUUCUUCACGGGACACGUAUCGGACACAUGGGUUUACGGGACACGGUCUGCCUCCCCUCAGGGAGAAUCUUUCUAAGGUUGACCUCGGAUCAGGUAGGGAUACCCGCUGAACUUAAGCAUAUCAAUAAGCGGAGGA
rnacentral:misc_RNA from 1 species